rnacentral:misc_RNA from 1 species
GAUGAAGAACGUAGCGAAAUGCGAUACUUGGUGUGAAUUGCAGAAUCCCGUGAACCAUCGAGUCUUUGAACGCACAUUGCGCCCCCUGGUAUUCCGGGGGGCAUGCCUGUCCGAGCGUCAUUGCCGCCCUCAAGCACGGCUUGUGUGUUGGGCCCCCGCCCCCCGGCUUCGGGGGGCGGGCCCGAAAGGCAGCGGCGGCACCGCGUCCGGUCCUCGAGCGUAUGGGGCUUCGUCACCCGCUCUGUAGGCCCGGCCGGCGCCCGCCGGCGACCCCAAUCAAUCUUUCCAGGUUGACCUCGGAUCAGGUAGGGAUACCCGCUGAACUUAAGCAUAUCAAUAAGCGGAGGA